AACCUCCGCAAUGUGAGAAAUCGCGACGGGGGGAUCCCAAGUGCCAUUCUUAACGGGAUGGCUUUUCAUUAGUGUAAAGAGCUUUUGGAAUAAGGGCUGGGCAAGACCGGUGCCAGCCGCCGCGGUAACACCGGCAGCUCUAGUGGUAGCAGUUUUUAUUGGGCCUAAAGCGUCCGUAGCCGGUUUAAUAAGUCUCUGGUGAAAUCCUGUAGCUUAACUGUGGGAAUUGCUGGAGAUACUAUUAGACUUGAGACCGGGAGAGGUUAGAGGUACUCCCAGGGUAGAGGUGAAAUUCUGUAAUCCUGGGAGGACCGCCUGUUGCGAAGGCGUCUAACUGGAACGGUUCUGACGGUGAGGGACGAAAGUUAGGGGCGCGAACCGGAUUAGAUACCCGGGUAGUCCUAACUGUAAACGAUGCGGACUUGGUGUUGGGGUGGCUUUGAGCUGCUCCAGUGCCGAAGGGAAGCUGUUAAGUCCGCCGCCUGGGAAGUACGGUCGCAAGACUGAAACUUAAGGAAUA
rnacentral:rRNA from 1 species